UAUUUGCUCCUCUCUCUCUCCGUCAAAACGAACAAACGAAACGACGAAAGCAAAAAUCGAUUUAUCAAAAUCGACGAGUACAAACCAAUCACAGUUCUGAUUGGUUUCCAAGACAAAUGGAUAUCUCCUCGUCGUCUUCUUCUUCUCCGAUUUCGCUUACUUCUUCUCUGUUAGGUAAGAAGCUUCUCUGUUAUGUGUUUGAAGAAUGAAGAUGAUUCGGAACCAAAAAGAUACAACGCAAAGAUGUGUUAUUGGAGGAGACAUCGAUUUGGUCAGAGCUGAUUCGAUCCAAGGUCCAGUCUUUGUUUGAUGAUGCUAAAUCUCAAUGUUGCUUGCGGAAGUGCAUCUUCUUAUGUUGAUAGUUGAUAUCUUGAUUAUUUUGUUUUUAAUAUGGUCACAUAAUUGUUGAGACUAGAUUGUAAUAGCUUUCUAAGUAGAUGCAGAAACUACUUUCUUCUUCAACUCGAGCUUAACAUGAAACGAAGUUGCGGGUUUAGUAUGGUAGUAUGGAAGUUGUUUGAUUUCCGAUUUAAUUUGCCUCGGAUACUUUGAGCGGUCAAGCUUUCGGAGCUAAGCUAUAUCGGAAACUAGGUGUUCAGACUUACACAGCCAUGUUUUGUCUUGCUUUGGUGUGUAUCCCUCUUUCUCUCGUUUGGCUCAACAUGGAAAAGCUUCUUGUGUUCCUGGGACAAGACCCUGCUGCCUGGCUUAUCCCUAGACUCUUUGCUUACUCUGUUCUACAGCCUCUCACUCGCUUCUUUCAAAACCAGAGUUUGAUCUCACCUCUCUGCAUCACUCUGCAGUUAAACUUGUUAUGUUCCUUGGUCUUUCCUAUAAACAGUUUGUAAUACCAAAUUCGAUGAUGGUUGUUGCUACAGGGUGAGGGCAGCGAAUGGGUAAAUGUUGAUAUUUCAAACCCAGAGCCUUCUUCAGACGAUUGAGUUGGAGUCUUCUCACCAUCAAAAUUCGACUCAUCUUCUUGUGCUCGAGCUGAUGGCAAAGAGUACACAACCGUUCAAUCUCCUAUUCCAUUUUGCAAAUACUAAAUGAGACACCCAAGGAUGACUAAUGGGAGGACAAAAAUAAAAAACAGGGGUGUGAAGAAAUUUGUAUUAUUUUUAGUAUUAUUGAAAAAUAAAGACACCCAAAUGAGGAUGUGCAAUGUGUUUGCUCUUAUGGGCCUAGAGGUCGCCUAUUAAACCGAAGUGACAAUAACGUCUCACACGUGUCUAAUAAGAACGACACGCGCGUCUUAUCUUAUA